rnacentral:rRNA from 1 species
GUGAUAAAUUUAACGGCCGCGGUACCCUAACCGUGCAAAGGUAGAAUAAUCACUUGUUCUUUAAAUAAGGACUUGUAUCAACGGCAUCACGAGGGUUCUACUGUCUCCUCUCUCCAAUCAGUGAAACUGAUCUCCCCAUGAAAAAGUGGGGAUAAACUUAUAAGACGAGAAGACCCCAUGGAGCUUUAAAACCUAUAGCAACCUAGCAAACACUUCCAUCUAGCUAUAAAAUAAUGCUCAAGGACUUUAGGUUGGGAGGACCACGGAGCACAAAAUAACCUCCGUAAUGAAAAGAAUAAGAUCUUUACCAAAGAGCCACAACUCUAAGAAUUAGAAAACUAACGUACAUGACCCGAUAUCGAUCAAUGAACUAAGUUACCCUGGGGAUAACAGCGCAAUCCACUCUGAGAGUUCAUAUCGACGAGCGGGCUUACGACCUCGAUGUUGGAUCAGGGUAUCCUGGUGGUGCAGCCGCUACCGAAGGUUCGUUUGUUCAACGAUUAAAACCC